rnacentral:rRNA from 1 species
AUAUUGCUCAAUGGGAGAAAUCCUGAAGCAGCAACGCCGCGUGGAGGAUGAAGGGUCUAUGACUUGUAAACUCCUGUAAAGAAGGAAAAAAUUCCCAUUUGAUGGGAGAUGAUGGUACUUCUGGAGUAAGCCCCGGCUAACUACGUGCCAGCAGCCGCGGUAAUACGUAGGGGGCAAGCGUUGUCCGGAUUUACUGGGUGUAAAGGGUGCUCAGGCGGAUUUGUAAGUCAGAGGUGAAAUCUUACAGCUUAACUGUGAAACUGCCUUUGNUACUGCAAGCCUAGAGUAUGGAAGAGAGUGAUGGAAUAUCUGGUGUAGCAGUGAAAUGCGUAGAUAUCAGAUAGAACACCAAUGGCGAAGGCAGUCACUUGGUCCAUUACUGACGCUAAAGCACGAAAGCGUGGGUAGCAAACA